rnacentral:sRNA from 1 species
AUGGGUUAGGAAGUCAUGAGUUCUAGAUCGGGGCCUCUGUGAUUCAUUAGCUUUGUUAUGUGCCGAGUUCAUGAGGUAGAUCUUCCGUAAGCUAACUUUUACAUGAGAGCAGGUGGAAGACCAGAUGGGUAAUAAACACAGUAUGACUAGAUCAAGGAAAAGUCAUCACUACUAUUACUGUUAAAUUUGAAAGCACACUUUUCACUGAUUUUGAACCUAAGGCCAUAUUUGUACUUGGAAAAGGUAAAAAACUCAAUAGUUUGGAAAAAUUAUUCUUUUUCAAUUUUGCAUAAGUGUUUUUCAAGAAGGUUUACCAUGUAAUUUAAGUCUAAAACACGUUAAAAUAAAUAUUUGGCAAGAAUAAAUUUAGGAUACCAUUCCUAAGGAACUGCUCCUUAGGGCUCAACUGGCUUUUCUGAAUGGUACUAUAAUUGACACAAUUAAGCAAUGAACAGGGCGAAGAUGUAUUAUGAAAGACUCUUGAUAAACACUGACUACAGAAGAGCUUAAACCACAUACUUAAAUUCUUCUCAGGUGUAAGUUCACUAAAACAACAAAGGGAAUGGAAGUCGUAAGUAACAUCAAAUCUUAAUCAUAAACGAGAAGAAAGUACAAAACAUCCAUGUUUUGCUAUUUGACCAUCUGGAAUACACUACAGCUCCCUGAAAGCAUGAGAAAUUUGCAAGUAUAAUUACAUUCUGGAACUACUAGCAUGACAUGCUUCAAUAAAUACACUAAGACGAGAUCUGCUGAUAAAACGACUGACAUGAAAAUGGAUAGAGUUUCAUUAUUUGGAUAUCUGUUCCACCUAAAUUCUAAAGAAAACCAAGAAAUUGUUCGUGGAAUAGAAGAGGAGUAAGAAAGCAAGCAAGCGCCCCAUAAACACCCAGUGUGGUGCUCUGCUAUAGUGUGGAGGCAGAACACAAGUGCAACUUCUUCCUUCUCUGUCCUCCCUGCUCCAAAUCUGGCCCAACUCUCUGUGGUAAAAACUGACUUAAGGUGUGGGCAUGCAGCUCAGCUCUACCACACUUGCUAGUUAUGGGCAAGGCUUUGAGUUAAAACUCCAAUCCCAGUAACAUAGGAGAGAAAAACCAGUCUGCUAGGAUUAGAAUGUACGAAUUCUCUACUAAAGUCGAGGUAGCUGAAAGUCUGGACAGCAAGGACAAACAUUUAUGCUUCCUCUUGAUGGCUCUGGUGAUUGAAUAUGAAGUAACUGGACUAGAAAGGUGAGGCAAAGGAAGAACCGCACUAGUGUGAUUUUUAACCAUGGCCCUGGCCUCCGAGCAAUGGAGAAUUGUGACCACAGAACUACCCAGACACAAUGAACUGCAACAGUUGAGCAAGCAAGACACUGGACAAGAACUGGGAGUGACAAAAAGAAGCUGUCUGUCACCACGUGAAAAUUACCAAAGUUAUUUAUGCUCACUGCAUAACUCCGGAACACAGGUAAGAGAAUUAAAUAAAAUCAUCCACAACUCCACUUCCUAGAAUUAGUCAAGUAUCUGUACAUGCACUGUUCUACAAAUAUAGACAAAAACAUACUUUGGUUUUAAUAAUCAUAAAACUACGAGGCACAUAUUAUUGAAAUUAUGCAUAGAACUUAGAUUUGCUCCAUUUUUGUCUAUCCACACCGUGGGGCCAGAGCGUUGGCUCUGUUGGUUCAGCAGCUCAGAACACUUGUUACUCUUAGAGGACUCAUGCUCACUUCCCAAAUCUCAUUUGGUGGCUCACAACCAUCCAUAACGCUAGUGCCAGGGGAUCCAACACCCUCUCCUCACCUCUCUAGGCACCAAGCACAAAAGUAGGGCAUAUACCUGCAGACAAAACACUCAUCUACAUAAAAUAAAAUAGAAUAAAAUAAAAUAAAUCUAAAAAAAACCCAACAACAUUGUGAAGAAGCCUCUUCUGGCCGAAACUCUGUUUACACUCUUAGAAAUACCAAUGAUGCUGGCACGGGAGGCUCAUUAAUGUCAGUUAGCCAAACCUGGGCAUAUGGUCGAUAACAGAUGUCUGAGGAAGGCUAAUGAAUUCAAUUAUGUACACAUUAAUUAUGAGGCAGCACCAGGACAUCUAAGGAGUACGUAUAGCUGACUUAAAAGGAGGAAGGUUUGCAGCUCUUGGGAUUGCCAACGUUGGAGCUAUAGCGUAGUACAUGGGAAGACCAAGAAAGAGUACAAAGAAAGAAGCCUGCAUUUCCUGAACUCCAGAAGCACUGCAACACAGUGGGGAAAGACGAGUCUAGGGUCAAACACCUACCCAACAUUUACAACCAGUUAGGGCCACACGCUCAUCCUCAAGUCAUUGCAGCCCAGAGCCACUAGUGCGUCAUGUUCAGUGCGUCACAUCCCCCCAACCAUGCCAUAAAGUGUCAAGCAAUCAAGUAUGUCAUGGUAGGUUUGUGGGCUAGCACUAUAAAUCUCAUGUUUUUCUGAGGGCUGUGGCUGGUCCUCAUAUGUACAGACUUGUCAGCAUGGUAAACACAUCUAUGGCUAUUCUUCCAACUUCCUCUUUUCAGACUUUCCUCAGUACCUUUCCAAGAUUUUGCUUUUACUUACACACUUGAUUUCAUCUGCCUCCUCUAUCUUAAGAAAUGUGGCCUCCUAACAACUGCUUCUUAAUCUUUCCAAAUAUCACAGCAACUGUUCUACCUUCCCCAGGCCAAUCAGGGAGUAUUUACACAGGAAACAUGACCUCCUACUGGUGGGUGUGACACGGAUGUCAGCGCUGACUCUGAGAUAAAAGCACUCCCUUACAUCAGGUGACACCAGAACAGACCCAGCUCCUGCUUGCUUUGGGGUACUCCUAAAGACAGUUUAUUCAUCAUUUCUAUGUCCCCUGGGAUCUUAUACAAUCACUUGUUUUUAACAUCCUCUUCCUUUCCCUAGGUCCACAUUCCUCCCUUUCUUAGAAGUUCUUUAUUCUUUCUCUUUCCUCCUCCCUGUUUACACAAAAACAGCCAUCUUUAUAAGGUUUUGAACCUGUUAUUUUGCUGGGAAAGAGUAUUAAAGAUAGAAAGAAUCUUAACUCUUUAAUAUAUGAAUGUAUAUGACAGCAGCAAUAAACUAUAGCAAAGUAAAGCCCUGUGCUGAGCAUGGGACACUUAGACAGCCUUCCUCACUUGUGCAGAAGAGUGAAGAGCAGGGGAACAGGAAGCAAUAGUUAUCCACCCAGUGAACGAACGGUCACCUCCAUCCUGAAGAUUACUCACUUUCCUUCUCCCCUUCUUUCCCCAGACAUAUAAUACAGUAUCUCAACAGGUACAGGAAUAAUGGCAUAUACACGAAGGACUUAAAACCAAUUUAUGAGUUCUAGAAUCAAGUAGUAAUGCCAACAGCUGACUAAUGUAUAUGUGUCAUGUGUGACACCUGCAUUAGUUUGCCAUCUGUUGGCAUAACAAAACACUGACAGAAACUAACAUGGCAGAGGAAAGACUCUACCUAAGCUUAUAGGUUAUACAAGGUAAGGCAAGAACUACAGCAGGAAUCUGGAGGCAGGAACUGAAGCAGAGACCAUGGGAGAAUGCUGCUCACCGGCUUGCUCUCCUCAGCUACUUAUACAUCCCAGGCCCACCUGCCCAGGGUGACACUGCCCAUAGUGGUCUUCAGGGGGAGGGAUGGAAGGAAAGAGGGAAAGAAAGACAGAGAAUUGACUUUCACUUUCUAUGGUGCUGCAGAGUUUAAAGUCUUUUAGAACAAAGACCCAAAGAUGAUCCUCAAGUCCUUCAAUUGGCUAGCUCAUUUAAAAAUAUUUGAGAGUUCAAAUUGAUUUCAAUGUUACUAUUCUUCAAGGACUUGGGGCAGCAUUGAAAUAAUAGACAACUAAAAUUAUGUGAUAUAUAUAUGUAUAUAUAUAUAUAAAGGUUGUAAGCAUAGGAGCCUAUUUGUGGAACAGAGACAUACAACUGAGGAUCCCGCAUCAAUGGGAUCCAAUUUCUUAUAGUUCUAAAACACUGUUCAUCAUGUACUGACCCUUGGAAACAACUGCAUAUUCUGAAUGUAUAAGUAAAAUAUAAAUAAAAAUACAAUAUGUAAAUAUUCUAUAAAUAUUGCGAAUAUUUCUUGUGGAUUAUUUCUUUGCAUGAGCUGAACUGGCUGAAGAAUUAUAAAGUAAGACAGGAUAUUGAAGAAUCUUGUUCCAUCUAGAAAGGCUGGCAGAUUAACUGAGAUUGGAAAGUACACACAGUUGCUCAGCUAAUGUUCCUAGCAUUGGAAUAGCUAUGCAAAAUGAAUAUUAUAAAGCGGCAACAUUUAUCCCUGUGCAAUAUCACAGUCAACAUAAAAUUCUUAUUUUGAAAUCAUUCUAAGUAUGAAAAAAUGAUUAAAAUUCAAGUUCACUUACGUUACUUUAUGAGUUAAUUUACUAUACUUUAGUACUUAUAAGUAUACUCUCAUAUAUCAGCAAAUGUAGAAAUUCAGGAUACAAGUUCACAAUAUAAAAUACAGUCUCUAAGUUAAAACAUUAAAGACUGGGUUAAACCUAAGACCUAAGCUUCAACCAAAAGUAACCAAUGGCAACAAAACCAAAAUGUUUAGGACUCUCUGGCCUCGUACUUCAGUAAAGAGAUUUCCGAGAUUCCUGACAGUGUGGGUUUAUGAAGUUUAUAACGAGAACUAUUUUACAAAACUUGCUAUAGAAAUUGCUGCAGUGUUUGCUUACCAUUUUCUACAAGUAUUUCUUGUGUGUGAACAGUGUGUGUUGUGCUGGGAACAAACACAGGAGGCCAAAUAAACGGUGGAAGUGCUCUACCUCCAAGCUAUACCCCCCAGGCCCACAAGUCUUUAUCACCAGUAAAAUCAACAUAGUAAUUGUGUGCACAUUUUAAAUAUUUGUUAAGAGAGUAAGUGAAAUGCUCACACACACGAGUUCCUUACAUCUGAGUGAAAUCUCAUAACCUUGUUCUUAAAAGCUUGCUUCAACACAGAUACUGUCAAAACAUUCUUUAAAACUCAUAAAGUCUACCACUGUCCUCUGCACCACACAGGGGCCUCCAUAUGCCACUCUCUAAGACACAUCAGAUCAUACUGUCAUUUUAUGAAAUAAAUUGGGCAAGGUUAGAGAUCCUACUGUGCCCAUCAAAACUUUGCAUUCAAAUACUAACAGCUUUUUAGACUGUUGAAAGUUCAAUAAUCUCUCUACAGAAUCUGGAAGGCUAAAAAGACACUAACAUAAUCACAGACUGUCACAGGAUUCAUUCAUCAACAAGAGACCGACAAGAGUUCAGCUGUUAUCAAUAGGGUCCCUAAUAAAUAAUAAUUUAACAAUUAUUAAGUCUCAAUAUCUUUGACUUACAGGAGUGGCUAUCUCCUCAAAUGUGAAAAGAGAGGUUGAUCAUUCUAAACUCUAUGAUUACAUGGUUUUAGAAAAGAAAACAAAUCGGUUUUGUAUAUUCUUCUGGAAGGAAUAUGAUGCUGCGGAGGCCUAUAAAAAGGCUUUUAACUUUGGUGAUGGUUAGCUAUAAAACUCAAUAAAGGCUGGAGACAUUUUACCUCAAAAGAAUUCCCACAGGAACAUAUUUUUGUGAAAAUUACCAGGAGCGUUUAGUGAUUGUCUGAAGUGGCACCUGAAACUCCUUAUGGGUUUAUGGUCUGGAAAUGUAAUAGAAUUCAGCAAAUUGGGAGUGUGUUAAUAAUGUUCAAAACAAAAUAGUACUAGGAACUGAACCUACUGCCUUAUGUAUGUAAGAAAACUUUUAAAAAUUGUUAUUUUGAUACAAGGAUACCCUAAAUUUCCUAGGCUGGACUCAAACUUGGCAAUGGUCCUCCUGCUGCUACGUCCAAAGUUGGGAUUGCAGGCAUAUGCCACCAUACCUUACGGGAAAUGUUGGAUUUGCUAAGGACGGAAGAGAACAAGGAUUUACAAGAAUUAAAAAGCGUUACAAGUUGGCUAUAUCUAGCAUGUAAAUCUGAAACCUAAUGCUGUAAAUCUCGAGUUCUUUGAGCAACCACAUAAUACCACAAAUAAGAACUUCCACACCUGGCACCACAGUGAGUCUCAGUCUAAAUGCAGUUGCUCUAAAGAUAUUAAUCAAUUUAUCUUCAAACUAUAAUGUAAGAUAAUGUUUGAAAUAUAAGUAAAUCCUGUUUCAAUUCAUAGUGUAUAUGUUCAUAUCUUACUGUGUGUAUGUAAAUAUUACAGGGUCUUGGAAAAACCCUAAAUGUCUAACACUUCUGGUCUGAAGAAUUUCAGAAUAGAGAUAAUCAAUUUGCAACUUAGCAUAUAAAACUCUUCUCGUAACCAAAGGUUCAGAUGCGCGAUAACCAGACCAUUAUGAUUCUACAAUGUCACUUUCUACUCUAAUGAGCCAGCGAUGGUGAGAAUACUUUUUUAGAAUUCCACAUUUAAAUUAGCAUUAGAUCAAUUCUAUUCUUUUCAUCUGGACAAUCCAUUUGGAGACAGAACUUGAAUAAAAAUACAAAACUAACAAGAGUAAUUAAAUUAUAACAAUGGUUUACAUUUCUGAAAGAUUAAAUAUCAAUCAAGCACAUUGAAAUUGGAACUUAGCCUUAUUACAGCCUAAUUUAUAGUUAAGUAUGUUAAGCUAGCAUGAGAAUUUUCACUGUAUUUUUAUGAAAAAGUUAAGACACUUUUCAAAUGUAGAAGAAAAUAAAAUUAAAAAAAUCUGAGUUAUUGCAGUGGGAAACGAGAAUUAACUACACAAUUCUUUAGAGGCUAAUUAAAAAAAAUUCUGAGGUUAAGGUUUUUCUAAAUUAUUUGCAGAAUAGGCCUGAAAGGUGACAGUAUCUGCUAGCAUAGUCUAGUUUUGGUGCACAUCUUUUAUGCAAGCUUCUCUCAGGAUUUCUCUUGUCUAAACUGGGUCCCCAGGGAAGCAGCAAGGAGAAAUUCUGUAAUUAUUUUCUGAUGCAAUGAAGGGAGAGGCCUUUCUAAUACUGAAUCUUGAGGAAAAUAAUGGCUCUGCCCCAAUUGUGAUAGCAAAACCCUUGCCAGAAUUGUAAGAGGAAAUUGACUAGAAUUUCUGGUAUGCGUUUCUUUUAUCGUUUUUAGUGAAAAUACACCUAAUUUCCUUAGUGUCUUUAAAUUAGGUUAUAAAUCAGAAAUCAGGUACUUUUGUUAUAAAAUACAAGUUACAAUUUGUACUAUUCAUAAAAGGAAACCAUUUAGAUAGUUAUAGAAGCUUCUAGUAACAAUGUGAACUCUGCACUCCUUAAGGCUGCACUUACAAAUUCCUUAGGAAUUAUGAAUACAGUGCUUUGUUUCUUUGUAAUUCCUUCACACGAAUUACACUAUGUAAAAGGCUUGGAGAAGGAAAACAUAUCUGUAAAUCUUAGUUUGCACUGACCCCUAUAAUUCAAGUGUAUAUUCCUGUUCAUACUCCUGUUUCCCAAAGAAUGAUGUGCUUCCUAAUACUUGCAAAAGUAUUAGUAGCAGAGUUGCAUUACAAUUAGAUUUAAUGCUUUUCUUCUCUUUGGCUGAUUCUUUGCUUUUCUAAAUAGUACUUAGAACUAAAGACAGACUGGGCACGACUUCAUCUGUAAAUGCCUAUAUGCAUCACAGUAAAAAAAAAAAAAUGUAAACCAAGAAAACAACCAAAUAAAGCAGCACUUUGCUCCUAGGAAUUGCCACUAGCAAUUCUGCUUCUGUGACACCAGGUAUAUGACAAUUUCUAAGAGGCUCAGUGUUUGCCAUCUCUAAAGUGAGGCUGUGAACUCCAAGGUCACUUAGCUGACAGCAGAUUUAGAGUAAAUUCACUGGAGAUGAUGAACACAUGUAAAAAGAGGAAAGUGUGUUUUAAAAAAAUGUAAUAUUUACACUCUAAGAAUUUCUUUUUACUACCAGAAUUUAAACAGAAUAAAGACCUAGAAGAUCCAUUUGUGAUACCUAAUCUUGACUGUCAACACAAUUGGUUGGAGAAAGGCCCAGGAGACAAAGCACAGUUCUGGGUGUGUCUGCCACUGCCUUUCCAGAGACCACUAAAUUGUGAAGGCUCUGACAUAAUGAGUGGUUUAAUUUGCUGAAGGAUACAAAAUUGGAUCAGACUAUUGGGAGGUGGUAGAAACUGUAGAAGGUAGGGCUUGUUGGAAGAAGUGGGACACUGGGGAGCUGUCUCUGAAGUGAAUAUCAUGCCCUUGGCCCUCUUUGCUUGCUCUGUUUGCCAUGA